rnacentral:tRNA from 1 species
CCCGCUUUAACUCAGUUGGUAGAGUGCGCGGCUGUAGUUUGAUUCAUGUGCAUGGUCACAUUACGCGCAGGCACCGCGAUGUCCCCGGUUCGAGUCUGGGAGGCGGGA